AUGUCUGCCCUAGAGGACAAGGUGGGUGGGUUAGGUUACAGCUGAUGUCUGCCCUAGAGGACAAGGUGGGUGGGUUAGGUUACAGCUUCACCUCAAGGAGAGGAUGUCUGCCCUAGAGGACCGGUGGGUGGGUUAGGUUACAGCUGAUGUCUGCCCUAGAGGACAAGGUGGGUGGGUUAGGUUACAGCUUCACCUCAAGGAGAGGAUGUCUGCCCUAGAGGACAAGGUGGGUGGGAUAGUUUACAACGGAUGUCUGCCCUAGAGGACAAGGUGGGUGGGUUAGGUUAAAGCUUCACCUCAAGGAGAGGAUGUCUGCCCUAGAGGACAAGGUGGGUGGGUUAGGUUACAGCUGAUGUCUGCCCUAGAGGACAAGGUGGGUGGGUUAGGCUACAGCUUCACCUCAAGGAGAGGAUGUCUGCCCUAGAGGACAAGGUGGGUGGGUUAGGUUACAGCUUCACCUCAAGGAGAGGAUGUCUGCCCUAGAGGACAAGGUGGGUGGGUUAGGUUACAGCUGAUGUCUGCCCUAGAGGACAAGGUGGGUGGGUUAGGUUAAAGCUUCACCUCAAGGAGAGGAUGUCUGCCCUAGAGGACAAGGUGGGUGGGUUAGGUUACAGCUGAUGUCUGCCCUAGAGGACAAGGUGGGUGGGUUAGGUUACAGCUGAUGUCUGCCCUAGAGGACAAGGUGGGUGGGUUAGGUUACAGCUUCACCUCAAGGAGAGGAUGUCUGCCCUAGAGGACCGGUGGGUGGGUUAGGUUACAGCUGAUGUCUGCCCUAGAGGACAAGGUGGGUGGGUUAGGUUACAGCUUCAC